GCUGGUUCUAUGACUUUGUCUCCCUCUCUUCAAUUAUCUAAUAUAUUGCUUGUGCCAUCACUUCCCCAUAAAUUGUUAUCUACUAGUCAAGCUACUAAAGAAUUAAAUUGUGCAGUGCUAAUUUACCCUACUUUUUGCCUUCUUCAGGAUAUUCUCACGAAGGAGAUAAUUGGACGUGGUACUAGGAGAAUAAGAUUAUACCAUUUGGAAGAUUUUAGCAUAGGAAGUACACAUCUUGUUCAGGGUGAUGCUGGAGAACGACAGAUUUGGCUCUGGCAUCGUCGCUUGGGACAUCCAUCAUUUGGUUAUUUGAAACAUUUAUUGCUUGAUUUGUGUUCGAAUAUGGAUACUUCUAGUUUAAAAUGCGAUACUUACAUUGUUGCCAAAAGUCAUCGCAACUCAUAUCCUUUGAGCAUGAAUAAAAGUAGUAUUUCC
rnacentral:lncRNA from 1 species